ACCUGCUAGCCGCGGUAUUUUGACCGUGCUAAGGUAGCAUAAUCAUUAGUCUUUUAAUUAAAGGCUUGUAUGAAUGGUUGGACGAGAAAAUUUCUGUCUUUGAAGUUUACUUUUAAGUGAAAAGGCUUAAAUGUGUUUAAAGGACGAUCAGACCCUAUAGAGCUUUUUUAUUGGGGCGAUAAGUAUUGAUCCUUGUUGAAGGAUUAAGAGUUUAAGUUACCUUAGGGAUAACAGCGUAAUCUUUUUGGAGAGUUCUUAUCGAUAAAAAGGUUUGCGACCUCGAUGUUGGAUUAAGAGAUUGACAGGGUGCAGUAGCUCUGUAAAAAAGUCUGUUCGACUUUUAAAAUCUU
rnacentral:rRNA from 1 species